AUCGAACGCUGGCGGCAGGCUUAACACAUGCAAGUCGAACGAGUGGCGGACGGGUGAGUAAUGCUUGGGCAUCCUGCUUAUGGAGGGGGAUAACUACGUGAAACUGUAGCUAAUUCCCCGUACCAUAGGAUGAGCCCAUGUGGGAUUAGGUAGUUGGUGAGGUAAUGGCUCACCAAGCCGACGAUCUCGAGCUGGUCUGAGAGGCUGACCAGCAACACGGGGAUGGAGACACGACCCAGACUCCUACGGUAGGCAGCAGUGGGGAAUAUUGCGCAAUGGGGGCAACCUGACGCAGCCAUGCCGCGUGAAUUAAGAAGGCCUUCGGGUUGUAAAGUUCUUUCGGUAGCGAGGCGUUAACGACAGAAGAAGCACCGGCUAACUCCGUGCCAGCCGCCGCGGUAAUAC
rnacentral:rRNA from 1 species